UAGACCUUUUCCGAAGUUAAAUCGAAACCCAUACCCAUACCCACACUUUUUCAAUCUCAGCACGGCCGAAGCUCAACCCAAUCUGUCUUCGGAGUUAAAGGAUUGCAAACGUAUUAAGAUAUGCAGCAAGUGGGAAAUGUGGAUCCUGGACCGACGGUUGGUACACAGUUGACGCGGCAGCCGGUUCAUCGAUCCACGCUGCUUUGGGAGACGCCAGCCGGUCAGGUAGUGCCAGGCGUGCUAAACUGCAGACGCCGAAGUUGCAAGUUAC